rnacentral:rRNA from 1 species
GUAAGGAAUAUUGGUCAAUGGGGGCAACCCUGAACCAGCCAUGCCGCGUGAAGGAUGAAGGCGUUAUGCGUUGUAAACUUCUUUUGUAUGGGAAGAAUGACAGGGAUUCAUCCUUGGAGAGACGGUACCAUACGAAUAAGCACCGGCUAACUCCGUGCCAGCAGCCGCGGUAAUACGGAGGGUGCAAGCGUUAUCCGGAAUCACUGGGUUUAAAGGGUACGCAGGCGGUUAAUUAAGUCAGUAGUGAGAGACUGACGCUGAACGACGGAUGUGCUAUUGAUAGUGGUUAACUUGAAUCAGGUUAGAGUUGGCGGAAUGGGUCAUGUAGCGGUGAAAUGCUUAGAUAUGACUUGGAACACCGAUAGCGAAGGCAGCUGACUGAGCCUUGAUUGACGCUGAGGUACGAAAGUGUGGGUAGCGAACAGGAUUAGAUACCCCAGUAGUCC